UAUCUCUGUGUGCUGCGUAGCGAAUUUCUUCUCAUGGCGAAUCAGAAGAUUGUCUCAUUUUUUGCCCUGCUCUGCCUUCAAGUGCUACCUGAAAGAUGAAGUUGAUGCACAUUGCUGAAGUGAAGGAGACUGCAGGAUCAGGGAUCCAUUUAUCACCAAAAGCAUGUUCUGAUUCAAGGAUUUGAAGAAUCUCACAAGCUAACAAAUGUUUGUAUAAAGCCCAUGUACAGCCUUGAAGCAAUCUCACGGUAUUUGGUAAGUAUUUUUAGUGCUUUGAAUUAGAUAGCACACAGGCCAGCUGAUAAAAUCAGUGCUGCCUGUAGAAGUACCAACUGGCUGUGAUCACUCUUGUCAGUAUUAACAGCAGUAGCUUACAUGUGUAAGCAUAGCAUCUUCCAGCUCUGUUUGUGAAUAUCAUGCUGUUAAUGCUUGAACAAUUUCAAAGGCAACUGUACAAGAAAACACAACCCCUAACUUGUUUUUUUUAUACCCAUAAUGGUUUCUCAAUAUGUUGUGCCCUUGUUUUCUGUUGAUUUAAAGCUAAACAAAAACACAAGUUGGAGAAUCAUCUUGGAAUACAGCAGUCCUUAUUUUAAAAAUCCAUACGAUCUAGCAUAAUUUAAAUGGUGUAUUUAUCAGUUUAAAAUGUCAUUUUACUUUUCCAGUCUUUUGUAUAUGGGCACGUUACUUCUUGUACAUUUUUAAUUUAGAUGUCUGUCAUUUUUCCUUCUGAUAUUUGAAGAUUUGAGCUCUGUGGAUUUUCAUGGUACUCUUCUGAUUAUGUCUUCAUAGUGUUUAAAGUCUGUAUUUUUGUAUGUAGGGAAAAUUGUAGUUUUCUAACACUUACUUUGAUCAAUAUAGUAUGAAAUCAUUUGUGAAGGACUUCCUGUUUAAUAAAUGGACGUAUUAAAGUACUAAAACACUGUCUUCAUCUGUAAAGGCAAUAUAUAAACUCAGUGUUAUGGUUGAUUAGUUGAUUAUCCAGCAACUGCGGUUGCUAAAUGCAUUUUCUGUGCAAGACAAUGUCAUAGAGUUAAAUCAACAGCUGAACAGAAGGCUUCUGCCUGAGGUUUCUGUGGCUCUGGAGGUUUCUGUGGCACACUGCAACAACAAAACAUUGUAUUUUGGGUUUGCAGCGUGGUGCUGUGGACUGAGAAGGGAUUUGAGGACUGAAAUGCGCAGUGAGUGGGUAGAGCUCUGCCAUGUCCUGGGCUGAAGGUUGUGUAUCUUACCUUGGGGUGACCUGUAUUUUGAGUAUUCACAUAGCUUUGGUGCAUAGGUGGCUGAGUGAGUGUUGUUGGAAUGUGUAUUGCGUGCUUGAAAGUCUGCAAAGGAGGAUAAGGUGUGUUUGUGGGGGGGUGUGACAUUAGUUGGGGUGUGGUCAGUGAGCUUUUGUGGAAGGAUUCGCUAUAGAUGGACAUGUGCUUGUGCAUCUCUUCACCAAGACAGGCUGGUUCGUUUUGCCUGUGUAGAGUGGUCGGCAGCGGUAGGUUUUAACAAGUGGUGGUGCAUCUGUUGGACUCACAGAGAUCAGACCUUAAUGUAACUGAUGCUGUUCAAGAAACCAAAUGGUUAGUGCUGGAUGUAAUGGCGUGUUGCUGCUGGCAUGGUGUUCCCUGGUGAAGAGAAGCUUUGUCAGCUGUGGAAUAGAACAUAGCAUGUUUAUUUUGUCUGUCUUUUAAACACUGAAGACUGACUUUAUUCUCCUGGGAAGACUAUGAUUGAUUU
ensembl:lncRNA